AACGAACGCUGGCGGCAUGCCUAACACAUGCAAGUCGAACGAGACCUUCGGGUCUAGUGGCGCACGGGUGCGUAACACGUGGGAAUUUGCCUCGGGGUAUGGAAUAACUCAGGGAAACUUGAGCUAAUACCAUAUAAUGUCUUCGGACCAAAGAUUUAUCGCCCUGAGAUAAGCCCGCGUAGGAUUAGCUAGUUGGUGGGGUAAAGGCUCACCAAGGCGACGAUCCUUAGCUGGUCUGAGAGGAUGAUCAGCCACACUGGGACUGAGACACGGCCCAGACUCCUACGGGAGGCAGCAGUGGGGAAUAUUGGACAAUGGACGCAAGUCUGAUCCAGCCAUUCCGCGUGCAGGAUGAAGGCCCUCGGGUUGUAAACUGCUUUGUACGGAACGAAAAGGUUUGUCUUAAUACGAUGAGCUCAUGACGGUACCGUAAGAAUAAGCACCGGCUAACUACGUGCCAGCAGCCGCGGUAAUGUAGACGUCUU
rnacentral:rRNA from 1 species